GACGAACGCUGGCGGCGUGCUUAACACAUGCAAGUCGAACGGAAAGGCCCUGCUUUUGUGGGGUGCUCGAGUGGCGAACGGGUGAGUAACACGUGAGUAACCUGCCCUUGACUUUGGGAUAACUUCAGGAAACUGGGGCUAAUACCGGAUAGGAGCUCCUGCUGCAUGGUGGGGGUUGGAAAGUUUCGGCGGUUGGGGAUGGACUCGCGGCUUAUCAGCUUGUUGGUGGGGUAGUGGCUUACCAAGGCUUUGACGGGUAGCCGGCCUGAGAGGGUGACCGGCCACAUUGGGACUGAGAUACGGCCCAGACUCCUACGGGAGGCAGCAGUGGGGAAUAGUGCGCAAUGGGCGGAAGCCUGAUGCAGCAACGCCGCGUGCGGGAUGACGGCCUUUGGGUUGUAAACCGCUUUCGCCUGUGACGAAGCGUGAGUGACGGUAAUGGGUAAAGAAGCACCGGCUAACUACGUG
rnacentral:rRNA from 1 species